UACGAAGGGGGCUAGCGUUGUUCGGAAUCACUGGGCGUAAAGCGUACGUAGGCGGACCAUUAAGUCGGGGGUGAAAUCCCAGGGCUCAACCCUGGAACUGCCUUCGAUACUGGUGGUCUGGAGUCCGGGAGAGGUGAGUGGAACUCCUAGUGUAGAGGUGAAAUUCGUAGAUAUCGGGAGGAACACCAGUGGCGAAGGCGGCGACCUGGACGGACAUUGACGCUGAGACGCGAAAGCGUGGGGAGCAAACAGG
rnacentral:rRNA from 1 species